GGUACUUAAGCCCACAGGAAUGGGGAAGACUUUAAAGGCCUCACACAAUGAGGCAAUUUAUAAUUUCAAAGCAGGUGUUGCAGAAGAGACAUAGAAAUUAUUGGCAGAAUCCACACAUUUUUGGUUGGUUCCUCCUCUCCUGGUACUUGAAAGCUACUCCAGAAUUAGUUCCGAUGAAGUCUAGGAUCAGUCUUUUAAAUUAUAGUCUGUACCAGGUCAAGAUUAAAUGAUUAUUUGGACACAUACUUGCUGGGCAGUCUUCUCCCCUUCCUUCUUAUUGAGAUUAUUAAAGUCUCAUUGUAAAUCCAGAGCUAUCAGAUCCUGCUCUGAAAGACAUCUGCGUUGGCAAGAUCUGGGUUUAUUCUACACCGAGUUUCUCCUCACUUCAACAAUAUAAUUUUAUUUAAACAUAACCAAAUCCUGAGAGAACCAACGGUCUUCAUGUUGUCUGUAAUUCUCAGUUAUAUGAUGUUUUAUACAGUGCGAAUACAUAAAAGCUGAAAAUGAUAUAAUUUUAAAUGAAGGCUUUGGAACUUCAUACCAAUGAGACUAAGUUGAUAAUACCUUCUCUGGGGUACGGUCUGAGUCUCUUCUAAAAUAUUCUUGAGCUACUUAUGCUAUAAAUGGAAUGGAGUAACAUCAUUAAUAUUUACCCUCAGCAAUAGUAUUUUUACCUUUUAAAUUCUUUAUAAAUAUAUGACACAGAAAUCUGUUCUUACUCCUAAGUAGGCACUUCCAUUUAUUCUAAUAUUUUUCCACAUGUGAGUUAGGGGGUUUAGGUGACCUGGACAAGGCUAUGCCAAGACUGCCACUCAGGAACACUUGAUUCUUUGUUCAUUGCUUAAAUAAAUAAACCAAAAAGUGCAGAUUUCAUUUACAAUACUAAAAAAAUCCCAGAACUAUGAAUCAAGAAGAUCAACCUUGAAUCAAGAAGACCUUGAAUCAAGGUUUGUGAGCCAUGUUUUCCCCAAGAAAAUCACUGUUACCAUGGGAGAUUAAAAAGUUAAUAUUAAGGAAAAGAAAAAAAAAAGUGCAAGGUAAUACAAGAGUUAUUUAAUCAAUAUUGCUUUUUGUAGGCCAGGAAAUAAUAGGCUUCACUGGGUAAGAAACUGAAUUUUCUUUUUCUUAUCAAAGCAUUCAUACUGAUUCAUUCAUAGCGUGGAAAAGAUCUAUGAGAAGUAAUGCAUGGGAAUCCCAGGAUUACUGAAAAGAUUGUGUGGAAAUGAUCUAGAAACAUUUUUAUCUUCUAUGGAAAUAUUUUGUUGCAAAUACAAGUUUAUGUCAAUUUUUCAUAUAUAAUUUUGAGGCAGAAUAUUGAAGUGUAACAUUAAAAAAGAUGACAACUGAGAACUGUAAUCAAGACAUAUUGCCACAACUGCCAUAUACGAUAACUGCCAUAUGCCCUGUUUCUUUCUAAAGAUCAGAUCAGAGUUGAUUUAAUGUUUCCUGAAAAAAAAUAAAUAAUAAAAAAAAAUCUUAU